CUGGUCUUCUGGACUCCUAAAGCAAACGUGCCUGCUCAGCCCUUCUCCUUCCUUCUGACAGCUGGGUUCUCCGGAUGACGGUUUGGAAGUUUAAGCCUUACGCAGAUGCAAAGCACGCAGGCCAGCGUGAGAGCGGUUGACAGUGCAGGCAGUGGGUGUGCAGUGGAGGCCACACUCCACAAAGACACAGCAAACUCCAACUCUGUCACCUGUAACUGGAGCCAAAGGGUCUUAUUCCUAUCAGAAACCUGCUUCCCAUCUGGGGUGAUGAGAUUUUGUGAAAGUAAAUCUGGCAGCUGUAAGGCAGGACAGAUCUCUUAACCUUAGUACUCUUUCUUUCCACCCAGCUGAAUCUUCACAAUUUCCCAAGAAGGACACUAUACAAACACAGUUACAGUUUUGGUAAGCCCAGAAACUAGCCAAAAUGAGUAAAAAACAAACAUCACUGGGGAGCUUCUUUCAAAGGGGGAAGACCCAGUGAUGAGACAGCAGAAGACUCUAAGACAGCCAACAAAAAGAAAGUUGCAUUUAAAAGAAAAUACCAAGAGUCCUACAGGUUGAAAUUAAUUAUGAGUUCAUUGCAACAGAUGAUUAGAUGAUUCACAUUCUCCAAGACUGCUUUGUUUUAAUAUAAUAUGUCUUGACCGGCUAUACAGUGAAGUCAUGAAACCUUCAAAACUGCUUCCCCACAUGGAAACCAAGCACCUGCAUUAAAAGAGAAGCCUUUGGAGUUUUUCAAAAGAAAAAAAAAAUGUGAACAUAAAGAACGGAAGCACUUAUUGAUGGCCACCACUUCAAAUGUGUCUGAACUGAGAGCAUCAUUCUUGGUGGCUAACCACAUCACUAAAGCUAAGAAGCCCUUUACUCUUGGCGAAGAGUUGAUCCUGCCUGCUGCUAAGGACAUUUGUCGUGAACUUUUAGGAGAGGCUGCAGUUCAAGUGGUGGCACAUAUUCCUCUUUUGGCUGGCACCAUAACUAGAUGAAUUGAUGAAACAGCAUAGGAUGUUGCGGCACAAAUGUUAGAGAGGAUUAAUGAGUCACCAUGGUACACAAUCCAGGUUGACAAGUCUACCAAUGUUGCUAACAAGGCAACAGUGCUUGUUUUUGUGCAAUAUAUUUUCCAGGAGGAUGUGACUGAGGAUAUGUUAUGUGCACUUUUGUUGCCAACCAACACCACAGCUGCAGAACUAUUCAAGUCACUGAAUCAUUACACAUCAGGAAAACUGAACUGGUCAUUUUGUGUCAGUCUGUGCACAAACAGAGCAGCUGCCAUAACUGAAUGGCUUUCUGGUUUCACCACUUGAGUCAAAAAGAUCGCUUCUGAAUGUGAAUCUACACACUGUGUCAUCCAUACAGAAAUGCUGGCUAGCCAAAGAAUGUCACCUGAACUUAGCAACAUUUUGCAGAUAUGACUAAAAUUAUUGACCACAUUGAAGUACAUGCCCCUAACUUACAUCUGUUUGUGCAGCUCUAUAAGGAGAUGGAUAUACAGAACACACACAUCUUCUCUUGAGAUGGCUUUCCAGAGGCAGAUCACUGGCCAAGGUUUUUUAAUUACAAGAGCCAUUCCAGAGAUUUCUUUUAGAAAAACAGUCACCACUGGCAGCACAUUUCAGUGACACAGAAUGGGUUGCAAAACUUGCUACUUGUGUGACAUAUUCAGCCUGCUCAGUGAACUCAAUCUGUCACAUCAGGGAGAAUGACAACUGUGUUCAAGUUGGCAGAUAAAGUGGCUGCAUUAAAAGCAAAACUGGAAUUAUGGGGGAGAUGAGUGUACACUGGGAUUUUUUUUUGACAUGUUUCAAACAAUAGCAGAGAUUUUGAAAGAAACUUAGCAAGGACCUUAUUUCUCCCAGCUCAUUCAUAAUCACCUAUCUCAGCUUUCAAAUCAGUUUGAGCAUUACUUCCCCACCACAAAAGACCCCUAAACUGGAAAGGGAUGGAUCCGUGACCCAUUUGUGGAUAAGCCAGGUGAAUCAACUUUGUCUGUGCCAGAAGAGGAUCAACUGCUUGAGAGUGCAAGUGGCAGUGGCUGUAAAAGUAUAUCUGUUCAGUUCAGUUCAGUUCAGUCUCUCAGUCGUGUCCGACUCUUUGCGACCCCAUGAAUUGCAGCACGC